GAUGAACGCUGGCGGCGUGCCUAAUACAUGCAAGUCGAGCGAACAGACGAGGAGCUUGCUCCUCUGACGUUAGCGGCGGACGGGUGAGUAACACGUGGAUAACCUACCUAUAAGACUGGGAUAACUUCGGGAAACCGGAGCUAAUACCGGAUAAUAUAUUGAACCGCAUGGUUCAAUAGUGAAAGACGGUUUUGCUGUCACUUAUAGAUGGAUCCGCGCCGCAUUAGCUAGUUGGUAAGGUAACGGCUUACCAAGGCAACGAUGCGUAGCCGACCUGAGAGGGUGAUCGGCCACACUGGAACUUAGACACGGUCCAGACUCCUACGGGAGGCAGCAGUAGGGAAUCUUCCGCAAUGGGCGGAAGCUUGACGGAGCAACGCCGCGUGAGUGAUGAAGGUCUUCGGAUCGUAAAACUCUGUUAUUAGGGAAGAACAAAUGUGUAAGUAACUAUGCACGUCUUGACGGUACCUAAUCAGAAAGCCACGGCUAACUACGUG
rnacentral:rRNA from 1 species